rnacentral:rRNA from 1 species
UACGGAAGGGGCAAGCGUUGUUCGGAAUCAUUGGGCGUAAAGGGCGCGUAGGUGGUUCUGUAUGUCUACCGUGAAAGCGUACGGCUCAACCGUAUUUUGUCGGUGGAAACUGCAGGACUUGAGGCUGGGAGGGGCUGGUGGAAUUCCUGGUGUAGCGGUGAAAUGCGCAGAUAUCAGGAGGAACACCGAUUGCGAAGGCAGCUCGCUGGGACGUAACUGACGCUGAGACGCGAAAGCGUGGGGAGCAAACAGG